rnacentral:lncRNA from 1 species
AACUUUUUCUUCUUCCUCCUCCCAUCUCACGUUUCUCUCCUCUUCCAUGAAAGCUUCUCUCAAGCUUCCAUCACUCUCUCAAACUAACCUUAAUUUUCAUGUUUUACACACCCUGUUGUGGGGUUUUUCAUACUCUUUUACUCCUUCACCUUAAACAAACCCUUAAAAGUCUUUCUUCAAUACUUUCUCUCACCAAUUGAACUUUGUAAAGAGAGAAAGAGAGGUUUCAUGUUAGCUUGAGGACUCUUGGGAAGAAAUUUCAUUACAAUCACCAAGGUGAGUGAUGAAUUAGGACUGGUUUUAAGUUGUUGAUGAUGGCUAGUAAUUAGAGUUAUGAGUUAUGUUAUUUGUUGAAAUUGUUUAUCUAUUUCUAGUGUUACUAAAGUAGAGAAAUGAAAUAGCCAAUCAAAUGGUAAUUGGAAGAUAGAUAGGAAAGGCUAUUGAAGCUUGAUUUGCGAAACAAGUUUUGGAGUGGUAUUAAUGUAAAUUGGAUUGGCUGUGAUGUUUUUGUGCGUGAUAGGUUCCAAUAAGGCCCUUUAGCCCCAUUUGGACCAUUAAGGAGGUUAGAGUCAAUUAAAAGUUCAACAAAUACCGGUGAGUGAACUUGCAUUAAAAUGUUUUUGGAUAUACACGUUUAUGUUUGAUUAAAUCCCCUAAAACAUUUUAUUGGUUUUCCUUCAAAAACUCGUACCAGAAUAAGCCCUUAUGAAAUGUUUUUAUGUUAUAAAACAGAUAGUGUGAUGAAUCCAUGUGUUUUUGUAUAAUGUUGAUAUAUAUAUAUAUAUAUAUAUAUAUAUAUACUAUGUCAUAAAUGGUACAUUGUGUGUCAAAAUGUAACCGUGCAUGUGCGAGGUGAGUGUGCACCUACUAGUAAUGACGGUGGUGAGGGAAAUGGAUGGUGAUAUUGCCUGUGUGCACGAUGUGGGGGGAUGCAUAUGAUGAUGAUAUCACUUGUGCAAGAUGUGGGGGGAUGCAUAAAGCGAUGAUAUUACUUGUGCACAAUGUGGGGGGAUGCACACGAUGACUUCUGCUAUGUGCACAAUGUAGGGGGAUUCACAUGAGCUGGGUAAGAUGAGGUGUUCGGGUAUGUCCACAAUGUGGGGGGAUGCACAUGGGUUGGGUGAGACGAGGUGUCUGGCUAUGUGCUUGAUGUGGGGGAACGCACAUGAGCUGGGUGAGACGAGAUGUCCGACUAUGUGCACGAUGUGGGGGGAUACACAUGAGCUAGGUGAGAAGGUGGUGUAUGUGCUUAUAUAUAUAUAUAUAUAUAUUUACUAUAUAGAGCUGUUUGUAUUUAAUAUGUGAUUGCAUUGACUGUUGAAAACUUGAGUAUUGUCAAUGUGUUCAAUUUAAUGUGCAAUGUGGCAUAAGUUGAUUUUUCUGGUGGCAGUGAAAGCCCCUUGGCUUUUAUCUUGCCAGAAUUUUGUUGUAGUGAAAAUGCCUUUUCGCUGCGGUGAGAGUCAAUCUCUUAUGCUUGACUUGCUUGAACUCUACUAAAGUUUUAACUUCUCAACUUCUUUGUUGUUCAUAAGUCUUUCGUCAUCAAGUGACUAAACGACCAAGGGUUUGAAUGAGGGGUUUUUAAAUAGAAAUAAACUAAAUUGCAUUGUUUUGAACUUAAGUGCAUCAUGAUUUCUAAACUUCCUUAUCGUUGCUUGUUCCCUUCCUAUGUUCACUCAGUGAUUUUAUACUCACUUUUUUAAACUUCAUGGUUUAGGUUCUCUGAGUUAAAGGUGACUGGAUCCUAGGACGAGGUGCUCCUCCCUAUCCAUUGCUCGGUAGGUUUGUCAUGAUACUAAAUGUAGCACCCACGCCAAGAGUCACUCCACUGACGGUCAGAGUCUUUGAAUGUGUACAUGUAAACUGGAUGUAACUUGCUAAGAAUCGUAUGGCAAACUAUUUAUGUAUAUUUUGAUUAAUGAAUACCAUUAUGAGUAUAUACCUGG